UGCACAGGGUUAUGAUCUUGCAUGUGAAGCCCUAGGCACAGUACCUGGACAGACCUGGCUAUCCAGUAGCACCUAUUCUAACCUUACAGGGCAGAGCCAGGUGAAACAUCAGAACAGGGAGAAGACUCUAGAAACUGAGAAUUGACUUGAAUUUGACUUAGAUUUCAACACACUUAUUAAGUAACUACUGUGCAUUGGACCUGUGCUAGUGCCAGGGACACAAAGACCAGGAUAGCACAGGCUGUUUCUCAAGAAGCUCUCAGGCUGCUGGGGGAGAAAGGCACAGGAACGAAGUGGCAGUGCCUUGUGGAGAGAAAACACUUGGCCAAAGCUCUUCACUGAGGGACCUGAAUUCAGAAGACCUGAACUGCAGCCAAGAUGCCAACCCUGUCUCUACAGCAAUGACAACCGGAGGACCCUCCCGUUUGGAAACCCUAACCUCUAUUAUGCUGAGGAACAGUUUGGAAUGGACGUCCGAUGACCCCAGGACAGUGAGCCAGCUUGGGUGAGGAGCCCAUAGGUGGUCAAGCACACAGCAACGCUUCAGGCCUCUGGACACAAUCUUCUACAGGAGCAAUAACCAGAAGUAAAACCAGAAGGGAGCUUGUGCACUGACUGUGGGAAGCAAGGAAUCACACUGUUCUUUACUGCAUACAAAAUUCCCCCACGUUGAGAUUGUUUCUGGAAUCAUAAAAGGGGUCUUUCUUGGGGACAACAAUUGCAACCUGGCCUUGUCCUCUAAGUCUGCUCAGAGCAUUAAACAACUUUCGAAUCAUAUUCUCAUAAACCAUCCCAUUUGGGUCUCCUGGAAGUCCUGUGAGGAAGGCAGUGAAGGUAUUGGUGGCACAGUGUCUUCCUGAAGCUACAGAGACAGAUGGUCGGUGGAGUUUGGCUGGAGAAGGCGUUAAGGAAACUCCUAACUGCACUGGUGAGGAACGUGCAGCUGCCCAAGGCCCAUCCAAAACUAUGUGCAAGCCAGUGACUCACCAUGUGGGCAUCCCAGUCAGAUGCUGCUCGAGAACUUCCAGACCUCUACAGAGAAGGAGGGAAGAGACAGCACCUACCAAAAGAGUCACCAGCACGGCUUAUUUGGGAAACACCCCAGCUCUUUGUCAAGAUACCUCCCGACAGCUACGUGCGAGAACACAUCCUCUAUCCUUCCUGACCCAUAUACAGGGUAUUCCUCUAGAGACACCGGAAAUAAGGAAGACUGAGGCUUGGUGAACAGGAGGCAAAUGCUAACAAUGGUGGAACAGAGGAACUCCAAGGACAGUGGACAAUGGUGGAACCAAAGAACUCCAAUAAAGGUGAAUAGGAGGCAAAUGCUAACAAUGGUGGAACAGAGGUCCUCCAAGGACAGUGGACAAUGGUGGAACCAAAGAACUCCAAUAAAGGAGUUACAUUUGUUUACAUGAUUUCUCCCUCAGUAACUAUGAGGCUUCCAAGGCAGGAAAAAGGUCUUUUUCAUCUUUAUAGGUGGAAGAUGCUUAAUGAUGAUUAUAGAUACUUGUGUCCAGAGGUAAGAGCCUCUUCUUAGCCUCUAUGGGUUUUGUAAA
ensembl:lncRNA